GUAAUGAUUACAGUGAUAUAAGUGGUGGUCAUAGUGAUGAUGAAGAUAAUACAGAUGGUGACCAUGAUGAUGCCAAUGCUGACAAUGAAGGUGGACCCCACCCCCAUAACCAUUUGAUGUUUGAAAACUAAUUUUACAUCACUCAGCAAGACAUUUGUCAGCUGCUCUUCAGCUAUCUACUUAAGGUUGUACAUGGCUAUGGUGCAGCCACACUUGGAAUUUGCAUCACCAGUCUGGAACCCCUAUCUUGCUCAGGACACUGACCGCCUUGAAAUUGUUCAGAGAUGUGCAACCAAGUGAAUACCCUCCAUCAGGCAUCUACCAUACUCUGAUCACCUAGCUUUCCUGGGCAGAGAUACAUUGAAGCUCCAACGUCUGGCAACUGAUUUGGUAAACACCCACAAAAUUAUUUACCAUAGUGCCAACAACCACCUUGAGCACCUUUUUGAGCUCCAUGUGUCUAACACACGUGGGCACACCUACAAAGUCAGAAACCAGCACAGCUCUCAUGACUCUCGGAAACAUUUUUUCACACUCAGAGUUACUAACGCAUGGAAUAAACUACCUGCAUCAAUUGCUAGCUGUCAAAACAUUGCAUCCUUUAAAACUUCCAUGCUUCCUGAAAUUCACCAACACUACAACUGAUAUCCCACCCAACUCUAUAAGCAUGCACGCAUGUAUAUCGUGACUCAUACUGUUCACUUUCCUGACUUUUGUACAUAAUUCUUUGAUGAUUUGUAGUGCACCUGAGCACUAUACAUAAUAAUGUCCCACCUAUUGCCAACUCACACCUGUUUCCAGGCAAUGUAAUAUUUCCCCACAACCAAACAUCAUGUUCUGUCAAAGCAAAGAGACAGUAAAACACACACACACUGACAGGUUUCUCUCAAGUUUCCAUCUACCAAAUCCACUCACAAGGGUUUGGUCAGCCCAAGGCUAUAGAAGACACUCUCGCCCAAGGUGCCACAAAGUGGGUCUGAACCAAAACAGUGUGGUUGAGAAGAUGGCUACUUACCACACAACCUGACACCUAUUAAUCCCUUCUAUAACAGUGUCUGUUAGUCUCACUGAGACCACCCUCUAAUUUCUUAGCCUUUCUCAUAUUUUACCUCUCAGUCACAGGGACUCUGAAGCCUUCUAAGUUAAAAAGGUGACCUCACAAGUGCUAAUGGUAUGGAAGAAGCAUCCAGUACCUUCAGUAAAGCAGAUGGUGUUAGGAAAGGCAUCCAACACUGGGGCAAGACAUGAUUCUCCAACCCAUCAGAUUCAAUCAAACCAUCUAACCCAUGCCAGCAUCAUAGAAGGUGGUUGUAGAGUAAUGAGAAGUGUGCGUGUGUGUGUGUAUACACACACACACACACAUAUAUAUAUAUAUAUAUAUAUAUAUAUAUAGGUCAUAGAUGGGAUUCAAAUGGUCUUAUAGAAUACACUAAGUAAGUGCUCAAGAGAUUUAAACUCGAGCAGGUAUAGAAGUGAAUGUAGAGAAAGCAAGUUAGAUCAAUAUAUAAAGUAUAUUAAAUACCUGAAAUACAAAAAAUGUAUAUAUGUAUACAUAUAAAAGGGUCCAACUUACAUAGAAUAUAAAUGAUAUACAGAAUGAAAGGGGUUGAGGAACAGUAAUUCUCUCUAUCAUUUAUAUUCUGUGUAAGUAUAUACAUUUUUGUAUUACAUGUAUUAUAUAUUUUAUAUAUUGAUCCAACUUGUUUAUCUCUACAUUUAUUUUUUAUAUAUGUGUGUGUGUGCGUGUGCGUGUGCGUGUGCGUGUGUGUGUGUGUGUGUGUGUAAAUAUAAGAUCCAGGGAUCAAGGAGUAGGAAGAAAUCUAGCUUCAUGCAAUCUGUAGUAAAUAUUAAAAAAAAAGCAACAAUCAGGAACAAAAGUGAUUUAUUGAGACUGAAGGUCAUGGAUUUUUUUAGGAAUGGUAAGCUGAAAAAAGUUCUUUUUAUAUUUCACAGCAGGUGACCAAAGUUGCUGGGUGUGUGAAUAAGAAUGCAAGAGUUAUGGAAUGAAGUAGGUUAAGAUCCAGGCUAUGUAUGUUUCAUAGUGAGCGGAACCUCAGAAGUGGUAAAAAUCCAAGUGAGGUGUAUACCGCCAGCUACUCAUCAGAAUAUCUUGAUAAAAUUAAUGGUUACAUUGUCAUAAGGAAGAUUCAAUCAGAAUAUAUAUAUGAGACAUAAGUGGCCAUGAUGUUAAGCAGUUUGCUUUAGAACACGUUUACAGUUUGUUCCCAUAGCAUGGACAGUGUCAGCUGGUAUUUUCUAUAGUUGUGGGUCGACCAAUGCCUUGUAGUUGAAAUUUGGUAGAUGGAAACUGAAAAAAGCCCAUCAUCUGUUUUCUUGUUGUUGAAAGAGGCAAGGUUGGCCUAUCUCCACAAGUGGAUGUUUUUGAGGUCAGUGUUCAUGGAAUCAGUGUGGAUUUGGCAUGCAGUGUCUAGGCUGUGAGAGAAUAAUGCAUUGCUGGAGAAUAUUGGAGAGAAAUGAAGAGUAAUGUCAUCAGUCUUAGGGUGAAUGUUGUUAGAUGUGACAGCAAGUAACAGCAUUGAUGAAUAGAAAGGAGAGAGAUAAAAUGAAACUCUAAGGCACUACAAAGUUAUCAAUGAAGGACAGAGAACUUCUUCAAUGCACCCAGCAACAACGUGAUAGAAAACUACCAGGCAUGCAUGCAUGCAUGUGUGUAUAUAUGUAUUAUGUAUGUGUAUAUGUAUGUAUGUGUAUAUGUAUGUGUGUAUGUAUGUGUGUGCCUGAGUGAGGGUGUAUAUUUGUGUAUUCUUCUUGUAUUGAUGUAUGCAUGCUAAUUGUGAUCAAAUGUCACUACCAUACAAGUGGUAUCACUGGUUUACAAUCUUCUAACAAAAAAUGUCCAUCCACCAAACUAUUAUUUGAAGGACUAGGAAAAAUAUUACCUUAAUUUGGAAACAGGGUAAAGUUGGUGACAGGAAGAGCAUUUGGGGAGAAAAAUUUGCUUCAACAAGCUUUGUAUAACCCAUGCAAGUAUAGAAAUGUGGGACAUCAGAACAAUGACCACGCACACACACAUCUAUGUAUGUAUGUAUUUCAAUGGUGGUAUGGUUCAGAAGUUCACUUUCCAGUCAUGUGAUUUCAUGUUCAGUUUCAUUGUGUAGCAUCUUGGGUGAGUGUCUUUUACUACAGCCCCUGGCUGACCAAAGCCAUGUAAGGGAUUUGGUAGUUAGAAGCUGAAAGAACCCUGUUCUACAUACAUGUGUGUGUGUGCGUACAUGUAUUUCUUGACACUGCAUAACAGUUAAUGAGUAUCACAGUCAUAUAAGUGGUGCUGCUCAUUUUCAAUCUUCCUUAAAAUAAUCCCACCAUGAAGAAAUAUUACCUUGCUUGGUAACAAGGGAGAACUGACAAGGGGAAAAGCAUCUGGCUGCCACAACAAAUUUCAUCUGACCCAUGCGAUUAUAGAAAAAUGGACAUGAAUCGAUGACAACAAUAUUUCAAUAGAUAAAGAAUCUAUGUUAUCUAAAUUGCCCUUAUUUAUUUGCUUUUGAAAUACAUGCCACUGACCAUU